rnacentral:rRNA from 1 species
UGACCUCGAAUCAGGUAGGAAUACCCGCUGAACUUAAGCAUAUCAAUAAGCGGAGGAAAAGAAACCAACAGGGAUUGCCCCAGUAACGGCGAGUGAAGCGGCAACAGCUCAAAUUUGAAAUCUGGCUCUCGGGCCCGAGUUGUAAUUUGUAGAGGAUGCUUUUGGUGAGGUGCCUUCCGAGUUCCCUGGAACGGGACGCCAUAGAGGGUGAGAGCCCCGUCUGGUUGGACGCCGAACCUCUGUAAAGCUCCUUCGACGAGUCGAGUAGUUUGGGAAUGCUGCUCUAAAUGGGAGGUAUAUGUCUUCUAAAGCUAAAUACCGGCCAGAGACCGAUAGCGCACAAGUAGAGUGAUCGAAAGAUGAAAAGAACUUUGAAAAGAGAGUUAAACAGUACGUGAAAUUGUUGAAAGGGAAGCGCUUGUGACCAGACUUGGGCUUGGUUGAUCAUCCGGGGUUCUCCCCGGUGCACUCUUCCGGCCCAGGCCAGCAUCAGUUCGCCCUGGGGGACAAAGGCUUCGGGAACGUGGCUCUCUCCGGGGAGUGUUAUAGCCCGUUGCGUAAUACCCUGUGGCGGACUGAGGUUCGCGCAUUCGCAAGGAUGCUGGCGUAAUGGUCAUCAGUGACCCGUCUUGAAACACGGACCAAGGAGUCGUCUUCGUAUGCGAGUGUUCGGGUGUCAAACCCCUACGCGAAAUGAAAGUGAACGCAGGUGAGAGCUUCGGCGCAUCAUCGACCGAUCCUGAUGUUAUCGGAUGGAUUUGAGUAAGAGCAUACGGGGCCGGACCCGAAAGAAGGUGAACUAUGCCUGUGUAGGGUGAAGCCAGAGGAAACUCUGGUGGAGGCUCGCAGCGGUUCUGACGUGCAAAUCGAUCGUCAAACAUGGGCAUGGGGGCGAAAGACUAAUCGAACCUUCUAGUAGCUGGUUUCCGCCGAAGUUUCCCUCAGG